rnacentral:rRNA from 1 species
AGAGUUUGAUCAUGGCUCAGAACGAACGCUGGCGGCAGGCUUAACACAUGCAAGCCGAACGCGUGUAGCAAUACACGAGUGGCGCACGGGUGAGUAACACGUGGAUAUCUGCCUUUUGGUUCGGAAUAACUCCGGGAAACUGGAGUUAAUACCGGAUGGUUCCUACGGGAUAAAGAUUUAUCGCCAAAAGAUGAGUCCGCGCACGAUUAGCUAGUUGGUGAGGUAAUGGCUCACCAAGGCGACGAUCGUUAGCUGGUCUGAGAGGACGAUCAGCCACACUGGGACUGAGACACGGCCCAGACUCCUACGGGAGGCAGCAGUGGGGAAUAUUGGACAAUGGGGGCAACCCUGAUCCAGCCAUGCCGCGUGAGUGAUGAAGGCCUUCGGGUUGUAAAGCUCUUUUGGCGGGGACGAUGAUGACGGUACCCGCAGAAUAAGCCCCGGCUAACUUCGUGCCAGCAGCCGCGGUAAUAC